AAGAUAGAUAGCUGUAAGUAUGGUGUUGUGUAUUUAGGACAGUAAAUUUAAGGAGUUAGGACUAUGACUCUGGUUAUGUAUGUGCGAUAGUGUAGGAGUGUAUGAGUAUAUGGCUUGCUCUCUAUUAUGUUCUAUGUGGUAUAUGGGAUGCUAUGUGUGGUAUAUGUGAUGCCAUGUGUGGUGGUUGGUUAGUGUAGAAAACCUUUUCAGUUGCUGACUGAAUGCAACAUUAUUGACUUUUCCUUUGCUCUGAUUGCUUGAUUGUCCCAUUAUGUCACUUAACUACUCAUCAUUGUUGCCAUUUAUGCAUAAUCGUAACUGACCAUAAUGCAACCUUGCAUCUGUUACCUACUG